UGGGGAAUUUUGGACAAUGGGCGAAAGCCUGAUCCAGCAAUGCCGCGUGUGUGAAGAAGGCCUUCGGGUUGUAAAGCACUUUUGUCCGGAAAGAAAUCCUUGGCUCUAAUACAGUCGGGGGAUGACGGUACCGGAAGAAUAAGCACCGGCUAACUACGUGCCAGCAGCCGCGGUAAUACGUAGGGUGCAAGCGUUAAUCGGAAUUACUGGGCGUAAAAGCGUGCGCAGGCGGUUUGCUAAAGACCGAUGUGAAAUCCCCGGGCUCAACCUGGGAACUGCAUUGGUGACUGGCAGGCUAGAGUAUGGCAGAGGGGGGUAGAAAUUCCACGUGUAGCAGUGAAAAUGCGUAGAGAUGUGGAGGAAUACCGAUGGCGAAAGGCAGCCCCCUGGGCCAAAUACUGACGCUCAUGCACGAAAAGCGUGGGGAGCAAAACAGGAUUAGAUACCCUGGUAGUCC
rnacentral:rRNA from 1 species